GCUACCUGACCUAGCGGCGGACGGGUGAGUAAUGCUUAGGAAUCUGCCUAUUAGUGGGGGACAACAUUCCGAAAGGAAUGCUAAUACCGCAUACGCCCUACGGGGGAAAGCAGGGGAUCUUCGGACCUUGCGCUAAUAGAUGAGCCUAAGUCAGAUUAGCUAGUUGGUGGGGUAAAGGCCUACCAAGGCGACGAUCUGUAGCGGGUCUGAGAGGAUGAUCCGCCACACUGGGACUGAGACACGGCCCAGACUCCUACGGGAGGCAGCAGUGGGGAAUAUUGGACAAUGGGCGAAAGCCUGAUCCAGCCAUGCCGCGUGUGUGAAGAAGGCCUUUUGGUUGUAAAGCACUUUAAGCGAGGAGGAGGCUACUUGGAUUAAUACUCUAGGAUAGUGGACGUUACUCGCAGAAUAAGCACCGGCUAACUCUGUGCCAGCAGCCGCGGUAAUACAGAGGGUGCGAGCGUUAAUCGGAUUUACUGGGCGUAAAGCGUGCGUAGGCGGCUUUUUAAGUCGGAUGUGAAAUCCCUGAGCUUAACUUAGGAAUUGCAUUCGAUACUGGG
rnacentral:rRNA from 1 species